GACUCUCGGCAACGGAUAUCUCGGCUCACGCAUCGAUGAAGAACGUAGCAAAAUGCGAUACUUGGUGUGAAUUGCAGAAUCCCGUGAACCAUCGAGUUUUUGAACGCAAGUUGAGCCCAAAGCCUUUCGGCCAAGGGCACGUCUGCCUGGGCGUCACAC
rnacentral:rRNA from 1 species